rnacentral:rRNA from 1 species
UACAGAGGUCUCAAGCGUUGUUCGGAUUCAUUGGGCGUAAAGGGUGCGUAGGCGGCGCCGUAAGUCAGGUGUGAAAUUUCGGAGCUUAACUCCGAAACUGCAUUUGAUACUGCGGUGCUUGAGGACUGGAGAGGAGACUGGAAUUCCUGGUGUAGCGGUGAAAUGCGCAGAUAUCAGGAGGAACACCGGUGGCGAAGGCGGGACUCUGGGCCGAUACUGACGCUGAGGAGCGAAAGCGUGGGGAGCAAACAGG